GACGAACGCUGGCGGCGCGCCUAACACAUGCAAGUCGAACGGAGCUGAGAGGAGCUUGCUUUUCUUAGCUUAGUGGCGAACGGGUGAGUAACGCGUGAGUAACCUGCCCUGGAGUGGGGGACAACAGUUGGAAACGACUGCUAAUACCGCAUAAGCCCACGGAUCCGCAUGGAUCUGCGGGAAAAGGAUUUAUUCGCUUCAGGAUGGACUCGCGUCCAAUUAGCUAGUUGGUGAGGUAACGGCCCACCAAGGCGACGAUUGGUAGCCGGACUGAGAGGGUGAUCGGCCACAUUGGGACUGAGACACGGCCCAAACUCCUACGGGAGGCAGCAGUGGGGAAUAUUGGGCAAUGGGGGGGAACCCUGACCCAGCAACGCCGCGUGGAGGAAGAAGGUUUUCGGAUCGUAAACUCCUGUCAGCAGGGAAGAUAAUGACGGUACCUGACCAAGAAGCCCCGGCUAACUACGUG
rnacentral:rRNA from 1 species